GUGAGGAAUUUUCCGCAAUGGGCGAAAGCCUGACGGAGCAAUGCCGCGUGAAGGAUGAAGGCCUAUGGGUUGUAAACUUCUUUUCUCAGAAAAGAAUUAUGACGGUAUCUGAGGAAUAAGCAUCGGCUAACUCUGUGCCAGCAGCCGCGGUAAGACAGAGGAUGCAAGCGUUAUCCGGAAUGAUUGGGCGUAAAGCGUCUGUAGGUUGUUUAAAAAGUAUUCUGUCAAAGAUUAGGGCUUAACCCUAGAUAGGCAGAAUAAACUUUUAAGCUAGAGUUUGGUAGAGGCAGAGGGAAUUCCCGGUGGGGCGGUGAAAUGCGUAGAUAUCGGGAGGAACACCAAAGGCGAAGGCACUCUGCUGGGCCAAUACUAACACUGAGAGACGAAAGCGAGGGGAGCAAAUGGGAUUAGAAACCCGGGUAGUCC
rnacentral:rRNA from 1 species